ensembl:miRNA
GCUUGGGAGACAUACUUCUUUAUAUGCCCAUGUGGACCUGUAAGCUAUGGAAUGUAAAGAAGUAUGUAUUUCAGGC